GCCGGAGUAGCUCAGUUGGCUAGAGCGUUCGACUCGUAAUCGAGAGGCCAGGGGUUCGACUCCCCUCUCCGGCU
rnacentral:tRNA from 1 species